AUUGAACGCUGGCGGCAUGCCUUACACAUGCAAGUCGAACGGCAGCACGGGUGCUUGCCCCUGGUGGCGAGUGGCGAACGGGUGAGUAAUACAUCGGAACAUGUCCCGUAGUGGGGGAUAGCCCGGCGAAAGCCGGAUUAAUACCGCAUACGAUCUACGGAUGAAAGCGGGGGGCCUUCGGGCCUCGCGCUAUAGGGUUGGCCGAUGGCUGAUUUGCUAGUUGGUGGGGUAAAGGCCUACCAAGGCGACGAUCAGUAGCUGGUCUGAGAGGACGACCAGCCACACUGGGACUGAGACACGGCCCAGACUCCUACGGGAGGCAGCAGUGGGGAAUUUUGGACAAUGGGCGAAAGCCUGAUCCAGCAAUGCCGCGUGUGUGAAGAAGGCCUUCGGGUUGUAAAGCACUUUUGUCCGGAAAGAAAUCCUUGGCCCUAAUACGGUCGGGGGAUGACGGUACCGGAAGAAUAAGCACCGGCUAACUACGUG
rnacentral:rRNA from 1 species